GAUGAACGCUAGCUACAGGCUUAACACAUGCAAGUCGCGGGGCAGCAUGGGGGUUGCUUGCAAUCCCCGAUGGCGACCGGCGCACGGGUGAGUAACGCGUAUCCAACCUGCCCUUCACCACGGGAUAACCCGGCGAAAGUCGGACUAAUACCGUAUGUUGUCCAUUGACGGCAUCCGAUUUGGACGAAAGGUUUGGCGGUGAAGGAUGGGGAUGCGUCCGAUUAGCUGGACGGCGGGGUGACGGCCCACCGUGGCGACGAUUGGUAGGGGUUCUGAGAGGAAGGUCCCCCACACUGGAACUGAGACACGGUCCAGACUCCUACGGGAGGCAGCAGUGAGGAAUAUUGGUCAAUGGGCGUAAGCCUGAACCAGCCAAGUAGCGUGCAGGAUGACGGCCCUAUGGGUUGUAAACUGCUUUUAUGCGGGGAUAAAGUGGCCCACGUGUGGGUUUUUGCAGGUACCGCAUGAAUAAGGACCGGCUAAUUCCGUG
rnacentral:rRNA from 1 species